UACAGAGGUCUCAAGCGUUGUUCGGAUUCAUUUGGCGUAAAGGGUGUGUAGGUGGCGCGCUAAGUCGGGUGUGAAAUUUCGGAGCUUAACUCCGAAACUGCAUUCGAUACUGGCGUGCUUGAGGACUGGAGAGGAGACUGGAAUUUACGGUGUAGCAGUGAAAUGCGUAGAUAUCGUAAGGAAGACCAGUGGCGAAGGCGGGUCUCUGGACAGUUCCUGACACUGAGACACGAAGGCCAGGGGAGCAAACGGG
rnacentral:rRNA from 1 species